rnacentral:rRNA from 1 species
GACGAACGCUGGCGGCGUGCUUAACACAUGCAAGUCGAACGGAAAGGCCCUGCUUUUGUGGGGUGCUCGAGUGGCGAACGGGUGAGUAACACGUGAGUAACCUGCCCUUGACUUUGGGAUAACUUCAGGAAACUGGGGCUAAUACCGGAUAGGAGCUCCUGCUGCAUGGUGGGGGUUGGAAAGUUUCGGCGGUUGGGGAUGGACUCGCGGCUUAUCAGCUUGUUGGUGGGGUAGUGGCUUACCAAGGCUUUGACGGGUAGCCGGCCUGAGAGGGUGACCGGCCACAUUGGGCCUGAGAUACGGCCCAGACUCCUACGGGAGGCAGUAGUGGGGAAUAUUGCACAAUGGGCGGAAGCCUGAUGCAGCAACGCCGCGUGCGGGAUGACGGCCUUCGGGUUAUAAACCGCUUUCGCCUGUGACGAAGCGUGAGUGACGGUAAUGGGUAAAGAAGCACCGGCUAACUACGUG